rnacentral:rRNA from 1 species
UACGGGGGGGGCAAGCGUUGUUCGGAAUUACUGGGCGUAAAGGGUUUGUAGGUGGCUCGCUAAGUCAGACGUGAAAUCCCUCAGCUUAACUGGGGAACUGCGUCUGAGACUGGCAAGCUUGAGUGCAGGAGAGGAACGCGGAAUUCCAGGUGUAGCGGUGAAAUGCGUAGAGAUCCGGAGGAACACCAGUGGCGAAGGCGGCUGCCUGGGCCUGGCCUGACGCUGAGGCGCGAAAGCGUGGGGAGCGAGCCGG